AAGUAGUGAAACCCGCGAUGAACAAAUGUACAAAUGAUAUCCGCCAAGCACAGGCUCGCUAAAGGAAGUUUAAAAUUCUCUCUCUCCAAGAAGUAUAAAAUUGAGAUUUGCAAUACGUGUCAGGGGCCACUUGAAGCCUGCUAAAAAGGUGCCAAAACUUUGUUGGCGUGGCAAAGGAAGGGCGUCACCUGACGGGGCGGGGAGGAGAAUCACACCCGCAACCCUGCCUGAUGAGCGCACGUGUGAUGACGGGGGUUCCGCUCCUUCAUGCUGCCUCCCGAACUGCGCGGUUCCGCUCCUCGGCGCGGAACCCUUCACUCGUCGUGGCCGGCUGGCACUCACCGAACCCGGAACGACGCUGGCGCAAGGCUCGGCGUGCGCGUGCACUCGGGGCGUGCAGCUGCGCGCUCCCUCGCGGGCGGACGGAGCAACGUGGCCGCGCGCUCCUCUGCGCGUGUGCGCGGAGCCAGAAAAACUGAUGAGAUUUAUUGAUGCGCGCGACCGGGAGGCAGAGAAAGUCUCUGCGCGUGCACGCCGGGUUGCACCCUAUGCAACGAGUGUCAUGUUUGAUUUUACUGAAUGCAGAAUUACAUUUUUACACCCCUUUUUAA